GCAGAAACCAGUUGGUAGACUUCUUGGAGACUUCACUCAUCCUAUGGCAUCCUUGGUGCCAGGAGGUCUCCAGUGUCAUGGUCAAGAGCAUCAGCUCUGCACUCAGCCUGUCUGGGUCUAAAUCUCAGCUCAGCUGGUAAGAGGCUCUAUGACCUUGAGCUCAUUACAGAAUUUCUCUGAGCCUCAGUUUCCCCAUCUUUCAAAUGGGGAUGAUAAUGGUAGUUCCCUCAUGGAACUAUCAUGGAUACAUGGCAUGUAAAAUAUUUUAGUACACGGUCACAUCCUGGGAGACAGAGUUCCAGAAGUCGUGGCUGCAAGAGUCAGGUAAGAGAUACAAACCUGACUCAAAGAGGAACUUCCGUGAAGAUGUCACAGCUGCAAAGAGAAAAUGACUGCCAGGUCCCCACUCACCUUGUUAGAGGCCCUGGCUGUUCUGAAUAUGCCAUAGCCAGACUCAAUGGGGGCCCACGCUGAGCUACAAACAACACUGGCUGUGGUGUGUUGAUGGAGGGGUGAGACUGGCCUCAGGGCCUGCUGACUGUUCCUUGGGUGUCUGGGGCCCGGGCAUGGAUGUUACCUUAAGGAGCACACACCGGUCUCCCUUCUUCCACACCACCCCAUCCUCCCUGCCUUUCUUCUCAGAGACUCAUUGAGCACCUACUUUAUUCCAUGUGCUUGAACAAAGUAAACCUGGCCUCUGCCCUGAUGGUGUGUGCCUCAUAGUCUGGGAAGAUAGACAAUCAACAAAUAAGCAGAAAGGUGAGCAAGAUGAUUCCUGAUGGUGGUAAGGCCUCUCCAAAGAAGCGACAUCUGAGUUGAGAGGAAAGGAGAAGGAGCUGGCUGUGCAGACACCUGGAGCCCAUUUCCACAGUGAGUGGGAAUGGCAAUUGCAAAGGCUGUGGAAAGCAGGAGAGAGCUGGGAGUUUUGGUGUUUUUGUUGUUGCUGUUUUGGGACAGGGUCUCACUCUGUCACCCAAACUGGAGUGCAGUGGCACAGUCAGCUCACUGGAACCUCGAACUCCUGAGCUCAGGUGAUCCUCCCACCUCAGCCUUCUGAGUAGCUGGGCCACAGAUGCAUGCCACCACACCUGGCUCAUUAAAAAAAUUUUUUUUAGAGAUGGGAUGGGGUCUUGUUAUGUUGCUCAGGCUGCUCUUGAACUCCUGGCCUCAAGCGAUUCUCCCGCCUUGGCCUCACAAAGUGCUGGGAUCAUAGCUGUGUCCAGCCCAGAGUCUUAAGUUUCACAGGGACAGAAAGAGGAACAGGGUAAGUGAAGGAGAGGGGUUGCUGCAGGAGAUGAGUUUGGAAGCGUGAAGAGAUCGUGUCCUGCCUCAUCGACCAGGGUGAGAAAUGGAGGUUUUAUUUUAAGUGCAGCCAGAAGUCAUUUGCUAGAGGCUCCAAGCUGGGGAGAAAGACACGAUCCAGUUUAUAUUUUAAGAGGAAGGCUCCAGCUGCUACAUGCAAAGACCUGUGGAGGGGCAAGAUGGGAGCUGGGAAGGCAGAGAGGAGGUGGCUGCAGGAACCCUGGUGCCUUGGACAGAGGUGACCGGAGUAGAAAGGAAAAAAUGAAUUCUCAAUACAGUUUGAAGGAAGAGCCAACAGGACUUGCUGACAGAUUGAAUUGGACUGGGUUAAGGGUGACAGAUUUGAACUUGUCUGUUUCAAUUUAGGCCUGAUUCUAUUUUCAUAUUAACCUUCUUGUGAUGAUUAAUAGGAUUGCUCCUUGGGAUUCUGGAGGGCAGGUGGAACGAACUGCAAUGGAGACUCACUCCUUCCUCAACUCACAAUAAAGGGAUGUCAGAGAGCUGGGUUGUAGCCCUGUCUCUGCUACCAACUUGAUGAGUGGUGUCGGCUAAAUCACACCCCCCCUCCGCGCCCCAUCCUGGCUCCAGUGUCCUCACUGUGAAAUGUGCAUGGUCUUGGUGUCUUCGCAGAGGGAAGGGCUGAGGAGGGCUGGACUUGAUGUACCAUAAAUGUUCAGAGAGUAGAAAGCAGUGACAAAGAAGUGCAUGUGGUAGGGUUGUAUUGGGAAGGGUCUCUUUGCCGCCUAAUAAUUCCCCUCCCCUCUCUCUCCUCCUUUCCCCUCCCCUCCCUUCCUCUGUCUUUCCCUUCCCUUCCUCUCCUCCCCUCCCCUCCCCUCCCCUUUCCUACCCUCCCCUUCCUUCCCCUCCUCUGCUCUCUCCCUGCCUUUCUUCCCCCACCUUGGUUCUGAGGACCCUUCUCUCCUGUGCCAGAUGGUGCCGACACAGAGCCAAGGAUGAAAGCACGCAGAUGCAUUCUGCCCAAUCCUGAUCCCUGGUCUCUGAGAAGUGAUGAGACUGGGGCUGGGGAAAAAGGAGGUUGAUUUGGAAGACCGUUCUGAGCAGGGAAGGAUGGUGUGGAGGCCUUUGGGAAGUGGGAGGGGAAUGGGGAGGGCUUCCAUCGUGAUCACAGAGGAGAAGGGCCAGGGACUGAGCAGUGAGCUGCCCUGGAGGGCACCUGGCUUCUGACCCAUCAUUUGUGAACAAACCACCAUCCAACCAUCCUGCCAACUCUCCACCCCAUGAAGAGAAGGGGAGGGGCUUGGACACCUUAUAGGGAGAGGGAGAGAAAGGGUAAUCUUGUUCCCUAACCAGUGGGGAACUGAUCAGGACCACUGGAAAUUUUCCCAUGAGCUGGGGCAGAAAGGGACCCUCUGUCACUGUUAGAUGUCUAUACCCAGCUGUCCCACCUGGGGAGUCUUUUCUUUAGACAUCCAUGAAAGUACAGUGAUGUCCAAGGAUGUUUAGUGAGUCUCCUCAAAUAGGAUGUUAGGAGACAUCCUAUCAGUCUGAGACUUGUUGAUUAAAUUACAUUAUAGCCAUACUGUGGAAUAUCACACAGCUAUUAAAAAGGACAAUCUCAAUCUCUGUGUCACCCUGAAGGGAGAUUCUUAAUACACAAUGAAGUGAAAAAGAUGAGUUGUAGAAUCAUGUGUAUAGUUUCUCUCUCUCUCUCUCUCUAUAUAUAUAUAUGUAUAUGUAUAUAUAUAUGUAUAUAUACGUAUAUAUAUAUAUAUAUAUUUUGGUAAGUAAAAAAAGACAUAGAGGGCCAGGUGUAGUGGCUCAUGCCUGUAGUCCUAGCACUUUGGGAGGCUGAGGUGGACAGAUCACUUGAGCCCAGGAGUUUGAGAUCAGCUUGGGCACCAUGAUGAAACCCCGUUUCUACAAAAAAUACAAAAAUUAACCAGUUUCAUAAUCAAGUCUCAAAAUAAAUAAAUAGAUGAACAUUUUUUUAAAAAAGCAUAGAGAAGGGAACUCUACAACAAUCUAUUAACAUUGCUAACUACAAGGGGUUGGAGUUAGAAUGGAGUGGGAGAGAUUAUUGAUUUUUUACUUUACUUUGUUGUUUAGCAUAUUGCAAUGCAUGCGUUACUUCCAUAAUUAAGAAAAUCUAAUACACAUUUUUAUAAAAAUUCAAGGUGUCCUCAGAUAUGUUCAAGCCCAAAAGAAUCUUAUACCUGGACCCCCCAGUCCCUAGCCCCUGGUAAGGGACUGGAGUUUACCUUUGAGCAGGACCAUCCCUUGAUUCUGGGUGUGAGCACUUGGUGAGAAGAAAAUAAGCAAAAUAACUAUCCACGGUUCUUGGGGAUGCCCUGAAAGCUCAAAUACUGAAGCUGCAGAUGGAGCAGUUAAGUAUUCUAAAGGGAACCUAAAGCAAACUGUGUUUGUUGGUAGAACAUGCCCCUGCAGGGUUGGAGCAAAAUCUGUUUCUAAACUUAGAGUUUGGCUGCCCCAGGCCUGAACGCACUUGUUUGCUCUUGGGAGACAGGGUGUGCAUUCUCAUCCAAGCAUUUGCUUGCUGGAGUUGAGGAUUGAGGACCAGAUGGUGGCAGAAGGGAUAUGCAGGCUUGCUCUUGCUCUCACCUGAGGCUGGAGAGAAGUGCCACGUCUGGUAAGGAGUACCCUGGUCUCCAAGGUUGGUCUCCCUUCCAGUAGUAAUGUACCAAAUCCAAUGAGCAGACUUGGACUUGCCCUCCUGGCCUAUGUGGUUGUCUUGUUUGGACUACAGGGUGAUGGUGGGAUGUCCUUUGGAGGAGAGAUGUUCCCAUGUUUCUCCAGGGGGUAUUGUGGGUCUACUAGACAGGAAGGCUUAUUCCCCACUUCUCUUGGUUCAGAUGAGCUGGGUGGGAACUUGGAGGUGUGGCAAUUUUCCCAGAACAUCCUCCGUGCAGGGUGAGUGUUUACGCAGGAAGUUCCAAGUAAAGCGCUUGGAUGUUGAGUCUUAGCAACCACUCUUAGCAAUAAUUUUAAAUUAAUCUUCACGGUACUAUAUCUCUCCUCUUAUUCUGUUGUCUGUAGUAGCACCCGACAGGCUGAGGAUCUAUCAACAUUUUAAAUGCAAAUAUCCUUUACCCCAGAAUUAUCACUUCUAGGAAUCUCAUCUAAAGAAAUACUAGUGUGAUGGACAAAGAAGCAUGUAGCAAUGUUCUUUGCAACUUGUGUGCAAUAGCAUAAAACUGGAAAUAAGCAAAGUACUGGACAAGUGGGGACUGUUAGAUAAAGCUUGGCAUAUCUGCACUAGAGUGAGGCCGAUCUAUGCACACAGACAUGGAAGCUUCUCUGACACAUAUGGCUGAGAAUAGAGAACAAUCCUAUUCAUACAAGAAAAAAAUCAGUGCCAAAAUCUAUGUAUGUAAAUGCACAGAAAAAUUCUACAAGUGUGCCCACUUAAUAAAUGGAGCUGCCUCUAGGGAGGGCAGUGGAAUUAUAUGUGUGGAGUAUAUAUGAAUAAUGAUGGUGGUAAUUAAGAUGUGACAUUUGUUGAGUGCCCACUCUGGGCCAGGCACUGUUGAGGGGCUUUACGUGAAUUUACUUGCUCAAUGCUAAUAAUGACCCUAUGAGUUGUGAUUAUAAUCCCCAUGUUACAGAUGAGGAAAUAAAGGCAUGACUCCAGGGGGUGCUCUAUACAAGGAAUACAAUAGGAAUUGUGGCCCUAGAAUUGUUCAGCGCAGUGGGACCGUAAAGACAUGAGGCAAACGUGCCUGAUUUAAGUAAAAGGUGGAGUCAGACCUUGAACUAUUACACUCAAUUGCCUCUAUUUUCCCCUCCUUUAAAGCCAGUUUUUACAGUGGGAUUGUUUUUAUGUAUUAUAUGUGUGAAACAAAUAACUACAUCCUGGUCUCACUUGGAUAUUUGUAAGGGCCUGUAUCCCCAUGUGGGUGAAUGUGAGCCAUCCUGCCUUCUGGGCUGGGGGUGGGAGCCGCCCCAGCAGACCACAGCAAUGGCACAGCAGGAUGUCAACACCAGAAGGACCCGUGGGCACAUUCCUGAGCUCAGGAAAAGACUCAGAAUGGAUGGAAGUUGUUUAUAAAUUCUCCUCUGCUGCAUACUGUUAAGAAGGGGAAAGAGGAGUGCUGGACUCACCCUGAAUUCUUUCUUACGCGAGAUCCAAGAAUUGUCUCUUGGGGUCUGUGCUGGGACUGCUUUCCUGUAACAUAUUUCUGGCGUCCACAGAAGGGACUAUAGUGAGGAAACCACUGACUUUGGAUCACUCCCUGCAGGUGAAGCCAACUGCCAUGUUGUGCAGAGGCUCCAGCCUCCCGUGGAGAGGCCCACACGGAGAGGAUCUGCCAUCGCCAGCAGGAGCUUUCCAGCCAUAUGAUUUCUGGCAUGGGAGACACUGAACCAUAACCACCCAGCUAAGCUGCCCCUGGAUUCCUGACCUGCAAGACAUGAAGUGAGAUAACAAAUGGUGUUGUUGUAAACCUUACCAUUUCUGGGUAAUUCAUUGUGCAGCAGUAGAUAACUGAUACCAGACCCUUCACUGAGUCUUUUGGGCUUGAAAUGGAGAGAGUCAGGCUAAUUUGGGAUCUGGGAUCUCUUGGCAGACAUUAUUUCCUAUCAUAAAGAUCAGAAUGCCAGAAGAAGCCAGUUUCCAAGCAAGAGAGGGCAAAAUGAGAGAGGGAGAGUGGGAGAGAGAAAGAGAGAAGAGAAUAGAGAGAGAGAAGACUGGGGUGUGUGUGUUAUUUCUACCUUUUUUUGGGUGACAAAACCCAGAUUUACCUUUGCAGGGAUGACUCUUUUCCCACUCUGUGUUCAUUUGGUUCGAUAGAUCUGGCUGCACGCCCUCGCUUCCUGGGUGAUUAUGUAAUUUACAUAGUUUUAGCACCAAUAUGAAGUAGUUUCUGAAGCUAGCCUCCGGGGUUUUCAGUUAUCUGAGCCAGUAUUUCCUCCCUACUUUUUUUUUUGCUAAACUUGGUUUGACUUGAGUCUCACAAGUGAAAGCGACUUCAUUGAAACAGGAGCAGAGAGAAGCAGCAGAUAGAGAUUAAGAAAUUUCUUGAGAAUGUACAAAUUCCUGGAUCCAGCUGUUCCCAAAACCCAGGCAAAUCCUGCCUUCAAUAACAACAGCCGGACAGCAGCAACAGCAAACAUUUAUUGAAUACUUAUAAUGAAUUCCACCUUUGGCUAAUUUAGUUUCUCCCAUUCGCAAUCAAGAAAGUCUUGAAGAAUACAAUAUCCAUUGCAAAAAUAUCUGGAAAGGGAGAUAAUGUGCCAAGGGAAGCAAAAUAAAUCAAGGUUUACAAAAAGACAAAAGUGAAAGAUCACGCAAGACCAUAACUGUGUCAUGUGUAAAUUUCACCUAGGCCUUCUCUGUAUUUAGGGCACCCUGUGACAGGGACCUCAGCCCCAUAGGGAGAUCUCAAUGGAUUAGAUGCUAAGCUGAUGCAGGCUUGGGGAGUUGCCAGAGAAACCUAAGCAAGGCAUACAUCUAAAAGCUUUCUGAAUAGUUAAAAUUAGGUCCUAAAUCUAUCUUCUUAUUAAGAAUGACAGGGAUGGGCCGGGUGUGGUGGCUCACACCUAUAAUCCCAGCACUUUGGGAGGCUGAGGCAGGCGGAUCACUUGAGAUCAGGAGUUCAAGACCAGCCUGGUCAACAUAGAGAAACCCCAUCUCUACUAAAAAUACAAAAAAUUAGCGGGGCGUGGUGGCACAUGCCUGUAAUCCCAGUUACUUGGGAGGCUGAGGCAGGAGAAUCACUUGAAUCUGGGAGGCAGAGGUUACACGGAGCCAAGUUUGUGCUAUUGCACUCCAGCCUGGGCGACAGAGUGAGACUCCACCUCAAAAAAAAAAAAAAAAAAAAAAAAGAAUGUUAGGGAUGGAAGAUGGUGUUGGAAGGGGGAUGUUUUUAAAUUGAGAAACCAUAUUCCUUAUGUAUUCUUUUUUUUUUCUCUUAGGUUUUUUCCUUUUUUGCAUAGAAUACGAAGUUCAAGUUCUGUUGUUGUUGUCUUUGUUGUUGUUUUGAGACGGAAUUUCACUCUUGUUGCCCAGGUUGGAGUGCAAUGGUGUGAUCUUGGCUCACUGCAACCUCUGCCUCCCAGGUUCAAGUGAUUCUCCUGCUUCAGCCUCCCAAGUAACUGGGAUUACAGGCAUGCACCACCACGCCCAGCUAAUUUUUUGUAAUUUUUUUUUUUUUUUUUUUUUUUUUUUUUAGUAGAGAUGGUGUUUCUCCAUGUUGAUCAGGCUGAUCUUGAACUCCUGGCCUCAGGUGAUUUGCCUGCCUCGGCCUCCCAAAGUGGCGGGAUUACAGGCGUGAGCCACUGUGCUUGG
rnacentral:lncRNA from 1 species